UACGGGGGGAGCAAGCGUUGUUCGGAUUUACUGGGCGUAAAGGGCGCGUAGGCGGCCAGCACAAGUCAGUUGUGAAAUCUCCGAGCUUAACUCGGAACGGUCAACUGAUACUGUGCGGCUAGAGUGCGGAAGGGGCAACUGGAAUUCUUGGUGUAGCGGUGAAAUGCGUAGAUAUCGGGAGGGACACCAAUGGCGAAGGCAGCUCGCUGGGACGGUACUGACGCUGAGACGCGAAAGCGUGGGGAGCAAACAGG
rnacentral:rRNA from 1 species